UAAGUCCUGUCACUUAUCAAAAGAAGUACGUCAUUACUGCUGGCAUGUAACAUGUCAGCAUCGAUGUGCCUAUUUAGAGAAAGGAAUACGCACAAUCUGAACUGCCUUGUCAGCAAGACUGGGUUUCUGAAUGGGCGCAAAUAGUGAUUCAAUUUCCUUACGCGAAACACUUGUUGACAUCACGCGAUACUUUGACGCUCUCGUGUGACUUGUGACGUCGUCUUGACGACGAACCUAACUUCGGAUGUAAAUCGCAGCCAUUGUUGUUGUUUCGUCUGCUCAUCUCGUAUAUUUGCGCUCAUCUGCUUGAUAGUCAACGAUUCUUACGUCUUGUGCACCAUGAAUAGUUACGUUCAAGCAGAAGGACCACUGGUAGCCCUACCAGUAACUCGAGGACGUAACCAUGGCGGUGCUGGCCACAUCGGGCGUAUCUGCAUUAUGGUGUGUGACUACAAAAAGGAUAAGCAGCCAAGCCUGUCCAGUUUAACAUGAAAGCAUCAGAUGCUACCACUAGAGGGGUUCAGCACUGAAGACACAAUGAAGGAAGUAUUUGAUGACGUUGAGUGGAAAAGAGGUUUGUGUGGUGGGAUGUCCCAUAGAUAGGACAGCCUGCAGACUGUACUCCUCUUGAGCGUCCACUCUGCUUACUCUAACCCCGCCUGCUGAGGGUGUGGCCAAGACAUUGACCUUCCAGGUGGCCCUUGAGCUGUUGGACUUUUAUCAGAACUGUCAUAGCUCAACUCAAGUAUGGGGAAUGACAGCUCUGCCUGCUAGCUUGGAUGCAAAUGCAUCCACUGCCAAACUGACAGCCUCAAACUCCAACAUAUUAUUGAAGGCACAUAUUGCUGGCUCCCAUAUCCGAAAUGGGCUCCCCCACUGACAUCCAACACAUCCAUGAAUUUUUCGUGAAGAAACCCUGCAUGGAGCCAUUGGCACUCUAAUAAUGGAAUUUUGAAACAAUGGACAGACUGAACUGCCUUACCAGAGGGCGUUCUAUCACUUAUGUGAACUAAGACCUCUCUCCCAAGGAGUGAUUGUUGUUUAGGUUUUCCUACACCUCUGACAAGUCCCUUUACACAGAGGAACCAUCCUGUUGCAACAGCCCCUGGCAGUGAAAGGGAAGUGGGAUGGUAAAGCAUCCCCCUUUUACCACUUGGCUAGGAUGGAGAUUCUAGCAGACAGAUUCCAAUCAAAUAGAGACAAGGAAUUGACUAGGGCAGAGCCAAUGUCUUGAUGGGUCUGUUCAUCGUAUGUGAAUCCUACCAAGGACACUUCCCUCCAACUCUAAAGGAGGGCAGUGUUAGAACUAAACUCAAUAGCUUCAUUAGCCUGCUUAAAGACAAAAUACCCUUGUAAUAAUAAAACAAUGGGGAAAUUUGUACUAGCCCACAGGAAUUUGUACUAGCCCCAGGGUAGUAGUUAAGCUUGAAUGGCCAGGGGGACCGGCUCAUACAAAUGGCAAACUGACCCAGUGUAUAGCACACCAUCUCCCCCAGUCUAUUUAUUUGACUUUCUACUACCCCACCAGCUUGAGUGAUCCUGACCUACAAGUAACAAGUAGACACUGACCUUGUAC